GAUGGUGGGGUGAUAGGUGGGUGUUGGGGAUUGGCUCUAAUGCUUUGAUUUAAUUGGGAAUCUGUGUUGUCCAAAUGGUGAAGAUCUUGUUCUCAAUUGGUUUUUGAUCUAUCAAUAAAGAUGGCAGCUGCUAAUGGCUAAGUGAUCGAAGAGAUAGGGAAGGACCCUAGGCUAGGAACUGAGAAGGGAAAAGGCAGAGAAUUGCCAUGACGUGGUGGAGACAGAUCAGACUUAGAGCUUCAGGAGAGAGAGCCAACGAGCCACGUAAGAAUUCAGGUGGGUGAGAGGCCACUGGCCACUCCCGGAUUGGGCCUGGGGUAGCAAAGGGUUAGAACUGCCCAGCCUUUGAACCAGCCAAGGCAUUUUAAAAUUAACUUGUGCGCGGGUGUGCGCGUGCACGUGUGUGACUUUCGUUCUCGGAUCCAAAGAUUCUCUGGGCAGGUUGCUGAGAGCACGACCCACCGGGAGCACAAAGCGGGGUAGCCCAGACUCACCGCCACAGGUGGAUGAUGGGAUGGAGAGAAAUGAGGUGGAGGAAAACAGGAAACUUUGCUCCUGCCUGGCUCACACAUCCACUGGGCACUGAUCUCCUUUCUGACAAGUGACUGAGCACCUACUAUGUGCAAGGUCUUCACUUCAAUCACUUAUUUCUUUCCACAGUGCAGCAGAAGAGGGUGUGGCCAUCUUCCUGCUGUUGAUGAAAUGCCUGAGGACCCAGGAGCCCCAAGGAAAAGGAAAGUCUGGAGAGCUACCAUGCCUAUGCAGGUGACGUCGGCCUCUGAGACGACUCCUAUCCUGUGGGUGCUGUGACAGUUCCCUGGGCCACUGGAAUUACCAGGUCAGUCCCCCAUGUUCCUCCUCCAUGGGAAAAUCUUUUGGAGCUUCUCCCCAGGCCUCAGCAAAAAUGCCGAGAUUACCACAGAAGAGCCCAGGUUAACUGUACAACAAUCUGGUAAGUUUCUGCCACUUUUAAUUGAUAUGGUGGCUAUUUGGUUCAUACUUUCUGCUCACUCCAGUAAAACCUACCUUUCUUAGAUCUCUGUGAGAGAUGCUGAGAGCUGGCCUCACCAGCCUAGGGUUUCAGGCCCUCUCCACCAUUCCCACUGGACCACGAGGGCACUCACCCCUUCCCCAUUAUGCCUAGCUGCCCAACCCCUUUACUGGGCAGGGAUGUGAUGGCUAAAUUUUCUUUUUCUUCUCAACCAACUCCUUCCAGAAUUUUCCUCCCCUUCCAACCUCUUAAGUGCCUCCUUACUGAUCAGCUGACACUAAUGUUCCUUCUUAUCCUCUUCCAGGCUUUCUUGAUCCAAAGUAUGGGGUACCCCACUCACUCGGUAGCUUCUGAUCACCUCCCCUCCACCAUUAAGAUCCUAGUCUGACCCUACCUCCUAUCCCUGUUGCUCUUGUAUCUCUUUAAAAUAUAGACAGGGCUUAAAACCUAUGAAACAAUGCCUUCUUAUAUUUUUGGUUGUGAGCUUAGCCAUUAAUGGCUGAGCCAUCUCUCCAGCCCAAAACAAUGCCUUCUUAAUAAGGGUAUCUCAAGCCCACUUACUCACCCUAUAACACUCCCAUCCUGCCUGUCCUAAAGCCUGGUGCCCCUGCCACUUGAUCCAGGACCUCAGGAUGAUUAACACAGUUGUCCUUCCAAUAUAGCCCGUGGUGCCUAACCUUACACUCUUUCUCAGAUCCCUCCUUUAGCUCACUUCCCUGUUCUAGACCUUAAGAACCUCUUCUUACCAUUCCUGCCUGCCUCCAGGGCUCUUCCCAGCCUGUGGACUCUUUUGAUUUCCCUGCUCUAUGUGGUCAAAGACAGAUCAGUCCCCAGGUUCCUUCUCCAAAGGAAAACCUUUCAGACCUGGGUCUGGGAGCCAAAGGCCAACACUGCUCUGUGUGGCGACUGAAGAUUAAAUGCUUUCCUAAAUGAUAGCAAGAAGACCUACAGCAACUGCUCCAAGGAAGCCACUGAGACCAUGGGAGCCUAUGGUAGCCAUCUAGGUAGUAGAUGAGUCUCUGUGGUUUUCACUGAUACACAGGCCGUUUAGAUUACAUCUCCUACUAUAAUGUAUCCUUCUCAGAUCUCUGAUGGUGUUGACUGAUUGCAGCUUUAACAGCUGCAGCAUACCAGCUCCUCCCUGAAGGCUACAGCUGCUUUCUCUCCAUCCUUAAAAAUCAGGCCUCGGGCCUCACUUUCCUCAGUCUCCGGCUGAGGAAAUAGUUUACCUUGCCCAGACUCUGAGGAGAUAAACUCACAAAUACUUUUAACCCAAAAUCACUCCCAGGUAACCCAACUUUCACUAUGACUCAAAGGCAUGAGUGAUGCCUUCUUAUGAUAUGGACUUCAGAACGGGUUGCAAGCAAUGGCAGUGCUAGCAUAUCUGAAACUUUUAUCUCUUUUUGUAAACUUAAAAAGAUAUUCUUGUAAGCUUGCAGGUCAAACAGACUCCAGAUAAGCACUCCUGUCAAUCAACCCCUGGUUUCCCCGCCUACUGCCUAUUCCUGAGGGAGGGAUCUCUUCCUGCUUUCCCUGGUCUUGAGACUCCCCUCCCCCCAACUACUGGGCCUGUGGGUCUGGAAGAUUCAAAUGUACACCCAAGAUAAUCUAUAUUUGUCCCUAAUCUAUAUCUGUUCCAGCAGAUAUCCAAUCAACUAAAAACUGCAAACUGCCCAAACUCACCAGCCCUAGGUGUCUUUGCUGGAAUCUCCAACCAGCAUGAACCUUUGCAUCCUACGGGACUCAGAUGAGAUAGGCCCUGGUUCAGUCUCACAGACUGUUCCAAUGCAGCCUGCACUUCCCCAGCUCCAGAUGGUCCCGCCAAGCCUGGCCCCAAGCAGUGAGUGAAACAGUCUGCUCUUCCUGUCCUUGACCAGCAUUCCAGCUUUCUUGGGUCCCCAACAAUGACACCCCAAUAUCAGAAGGAAGUAGUCAUGGAAAAAAAUUACAUCACCCUUAUUUAUUGUCAACAAAGAGGCUGGGAUAUUAUUAAGUCUCAAACACAGGACAAAUGGCUAACAGAGGUGCUCAUUAACAUAUCAAAGUGGACUUGGCCUCCAGGUUCUCCCAGCAUCCCUCAGUUCCUACCUGUUAAGGGGUAUGAUUGGUAUACCCUGCCCCCUACCCUAAACUUUUCCAACCCAGGGGCUGGGCUGCCUGUCCUCCACCUGCCCUUUACUGUAUAACCCAGACAUUUUGGUUAACCAGCCUUCUGGUCUCCCCUUUACCCUCCUGAGCUCCUGGCGCUCCCCUAUCCCCUCCCGCUUCUCACACGGACAGCUCAGGGUCCUGUUCACUCUGGACUUUCCCAGAUGUCUCUGUCUCUGCCUAUUCCCUCCCCUUUAUCCACAAUGACCUCUCUCCUCCACCACACCUAGGAGCAGUCAUUUUUUUUAAUAUUUUUAUUUCUUUUGCUCAUCUCUCAGCUCCACUAGCUCCUGUUAAGCUGACCAUGCCAUAGCCUCCUCUGACCAUGUGGUAGUCUGUCCCUCCGCCACCAGGCACUAACUACUUCUCAGAAGGCAGAGUCGUUACCUUAGCAGGAGACAAAAUCAUCAACAUAUGCACAGAGUCUAAGUGUGCUUUUCACGUUCUGCACAGCACACUUCCAUUUGGCAGGAGAGAAGAGGGGCUUUCUCACAAGGCAUGCUGAUUACCAAUGGGCUUCUCACUCCAAAGCUGCUAGAAGCUUCUCAUUCUUCCAAGCACGUGGCAGUUAUUCACCUGGGAGGUCACCGGGUGUACUAAAGAUACAGCCGGUGAGGAGGCUAGCCAACAUGCCUACCAUCCUUUCUCCAUUCUCUUAACUCCUCCAAGCCUAACUUCUACCUGCCCAGUCUCAAAGACAGGGCCCUCAGGGCUGGUUGCUUCUCCAAGGCAGAGACUGUCUCUCUGAUGCUUGAACAAAGCCUUUCCUAACAGUUAUUUAGAAGUCUUCUCACACUGGAGCUCUGCCUCUCUACCGCCUCCUCUAACCUACCUGUCUUUUCCACCUCCCUAUAGCCACCACCCAAGGACCCUCUGCCUGUACUCAACCCCCUCCCCAUCAGUUUUGGAGUGAUCUCCCGGGGGUGGGGGCAACAAGAGGCAUGAAGAUCUUCUUCCUACUACAAAGGAAGGGUAGAUGCUCUUCCUGAUAUAGCUGAGACUGCAGAAGUGGUCUGUUCCUGCCUCAGGAACAACAUUUUGGACUUCCUAGAUCCACACACGGUCUGGCAUGCAUCUCUAAAGUCAGUCAGUUAGUCCCAAGGGCCUUAGGGGUACAGUGGCACCUCCACAUUCCCUCCCACCCCCAGUCCUCAGGGGAGGUUGGAAGGGCUAAGGGACACCUCUUCCCUCUCACCUUCCUCGGUUUCAGGCCACACCCAAGGCUCUUCCUCCCUUAGCCCUUUGGGUAGAUGUACAGCCGUCCCUUUCUUCUCUGGAAUCCACCCUAAUAUAUGACUGCCCACCUCCUUUCUCUCUUUUAAGAUGCUUUUUGUGGGAAUAAAUUGAUGGUGUGCUCCCUGGGCCCUCCACUAAACCUGUCACCCAAACCAUUCUACAGAAGGUUGAGUUUGUUUGAAGAUCUCUCAUCACAGGCUCUCCCCCCACACUGGAUGGGUACUGAUUCGAUCAUCCUUGAUACACCAAUGGUGGCUGAGCUCCAAUGGUGGCUGAGCUCCAAGGAUCUCAUCUGUCACAGCUCGAAUGGGCUCCAGACCUGGAUCUGAUAAGGCCUCCUGCCUCUCAACUGGGCCUCUAAAACUUAAGCUCUCCUGCCUAUGUCUACCCCUGAGGAUGAGCUCUUUCCUCCCGCCCCUGUUGGGGCUCUCUGUCUCCAUACCUCCCAGGCAACUCAACCAGCAUGGAAAUUCCAGAUAUUUGCUACUCAAACUAGUGAAUUUCAUGGUUCCUCCUUUCUGUCCAGCCUCCUGUUGCCUCUAUGAUAUGAUCAAUCUGAACUUUGACCACCAGGUAGCAUGAUUCCACAGCUGUGGUAAUGAACAAGCCGGCUUCAAUCCCCAUAACAAUCCCAGAUACUUUUUCUCCCCCAAGAUCAAACAAACCCAGCCUAGAUAGAUGAUCUCUCCUGGGGUAGAUGCCCACACUUGGAGCAAUAGGUACCAUUACUCUGAACCAUGACAGGGCAUACAGCUUCAACAGUUCCACCAUGGGUCCCGGCCAGGUAUGGUCACCAUUUCAAUUCCAGACCCCUGGGAUGAAAAAUUGGCCCAAAGGGUCAUGGGACAUAUCUACAUCUAUAUUCUGUGGGCUAGUCCAUCUCCUGGAGGGCUGGUGGCAAUUUUUAGAAUCCUUGAGAAAGCACUAGCUGCCUUUAUAAAUGGUGUUAUUAGAAAUUCUGAGUCUAUCCUGCUGGCUAAGCUGCCUGAGACCUCGCCCCACCUUCUGGAAGGCUGUUCUAAAGGAAAGUGUCUUUUCCACACGUAAGCAGAAUGACUCAUCCACAUGCUUUCUAUGUGUUCCCGUUACAAUCCCUUGUGAAAGCUAUUCCUCUUACCCUCAUAGCCCUAAACUCCAUAACCCACACACCUUUCACCCGCUUCACCUCCGGUAACUCUCUACUCUCUGAAGACACCAGGUGACUGCCUCUUCCACAGCUCUUUCCAGCCCCGCCCUUCAUCGGCACAGACUAACAUCUCGAUUUCAGGAAUCUUCCUUACCCCUGAAGGAACUCUCUUCUGGUGACAAUCAGGCUCCACUAGUGUGGAGACAAAUCCACUCAUGGUCCUUGCUUCUCCAAUCUGUCACUAUCCCCAACUCACUCUAGACACCAAAUGUGAGUUCUACACUCUGCUCCAAGUCACACACAGGAACUGAUGGGCCAUGGCUCUCCCAGCCAUUCCUGGGGUUAGCCUGGCAGCGUCAGCAACUCCUGCAGGCUUGACCAUAGGCAGAUUGGGUCAUAAUCUGUAUCUAUCUCAGUAAAUUUCUACCGGACACUAUCCAGGAAUCAACCUCAGUUCGGCUCAGCUCCCCAUGGCCUUUGUGGCCCUGCAAAACCAAAAAGCCCUGAACCUGCAGAUUGCUGGAAAGGGAGGCCCUUGCCUCUUCCUCACUGAAGAGUGUUGCUACUGUGUGAAUGAGUCCAGCCAAGGAGAAGAGAAGAGUAAAAACUUAAAUGAACUGGCUCACAAACAAUAGCCUCACGGGGCCAACUCCAAGGCGGGCUCCUCUUCUCUUGCGUCCCUGACUCCUCCCCAUUCUGGGUCCAUAAUAUCUAUACUUCUCAUAAUAACGAUUCUUCCCUCUCUCUUCAGAUUCCUUCAAGACAGAAUUGGUGGGAUUUCCCACCAGUUAGUAAAACAGAAGCUUCUGACAGAAUUUCACCAGCUCUCCUACCAUUGCUGGCCUAAACACUCACACACACUCACACACACACUCGCACACACCCCAACUCUGACCGACGGUCCAGCCUUCCUGAAAACCCAACAACAUAGUCCUUGCCCAGCUUGAAGAAGCUAGAGAUUAUCAAUGUCCCUUAUCCUCAACAAAAGGCUGGAGUGUUAGGUCCUAACCCCCAAAAUGGCAGUCUGGGCUCAGCUCAGGAUGGACUCUGACCAGGCAAACAGAAGGAUUGUUACUGAAGGUCAGCAUUCCUAGAAACCUUGUAAAGAGGGUUUCUGGUUCUCAGGAAAAAGCCAUUACUUUCUUAUCUGCCUCCACCAGCCCCCUCCAGCUCCCCACCUCCAGGCAGGCAUCUAGUUCCCUAUUAACCCAAACAAGUUUGCAACAGAUCAAAGCCCUGUGUUCAUCCCCCACACAGUUCCAGCUCUCAGGCUCCCUCCUGGCAGCUACCUGCCCUCUUUAAAGCCAUACUCCUUGGCUCUCCUCUCUGACCUGGGAGAGAUAGCCUUGGCAGUUUGGGUUAACUUUUCCUUUCCACCAAGGAGUGGCUGGUUUCGUGAUUUUACUACAAUCUCACACCCAUCUUUAGACAGAGAGACUUUGCGAGUAAGCUUGCCAUCUGCAAGGCCAAGCUUCUUGAAGAGCUUUUCAUGAGUCCAGAGGACCACAUACUACCUCAGUAGUCCCCCCCCCCCACAACUACCGAAGGGUAAGAACCACCAUUAAGUGAUAAACAAUGGAAAAGACCAAAGGCCCAAAGGUCAUAGAGCUAUCUAUGUAUGGCCCAGGAAAAGAAGAGCACUCUUUGCUUCCUGCCGUAUUUCUGGAUUAGGGUUCAGACCAUACAUGAUUGACAGAAAACUCCCAGGGAAUGCCAGAGCUGGCCAGGUACCCGUUCAGCUGGGCCAGGCCCAGAGUGGAUGAUGGUAGGCGAACAUCCAGGGGACUCCAGCCAAAGAGAGCGGACAUGUUAGUUUUAAAUAUGUAUUUCUAUUUAUUUAGUAGCAUUGGACUUUGAUUAAAGCUAGAGUCUCAAGCCUGUUAGCCAGCAUUUUGUCACUGAUAAAUUAUUUUGAAGAUAAUUUUUCCAUUUAUCUAUUACUGGGCUGGGGAUAGACAGUAGAGGUUAGACCUAGACGCUUACAGCAGCAAAUUCUCUUCUUCCACCACUGAGUGUCUUUACCUGCUGAACCAUCUCACCAGCCCCCUUUUUUUUUUUUUUUUUUUUUUUGGUUCUUUUUUUCGGAGCUGGUCACCAGCCCCUUUUUGACACCACCCACCCACCCUUUUUGAGACAGAGUUGCCUAUGUGUUUGUCGAGCCUGCUCUUAAGCUCAGAGGAACAGAGGCAAGCCUUGUGGUCCUCCUUCUUCAGUUGCUCCAGCAGUGGAGUUUACAAGCCUGCACUAUCUGGCCUGGCAUACCAUGAUUAGUACCGUACUGUGCAAAUUAUCACAUGCCCUGAUAAAAUGAAUUGGAUCUUGUGGUGUUG